UGGCGGGUAGUCCAGUGGAGUGGACGCGCCGCUGACUCCGGCGAGAUCGCAGGUUCGACUCCUGCCCCGCCAA
rnacentral:tRNA from 2 species